CUGGAAAACAGGAGAGAUAACAACUCCUAUUUUGAAGUUUAUUUAAGUAAUCUCUACAGCCAGCGUGAAGCUCGAAUUCCUGUCCCCAAGGUCAAGAAUCGCAUGCUCUUCGGAGCCAGCCAGGCAGCAUCCUAUUUUAAAUACGGGACUGUCUGUGCCCAGUGUUCUGCUCUAACUCAAAUUUGGCCAUUGCAAUUGAUGACAUAACUUUUUUCCCCAUCAGAUCGACCAUGUUGAUCUAACUGAACCUUUAGCCAGUGUUUUGUCUGAUGCAUUGGCCCCAGAGAUAACUUCUCUGUUUUCUGCUUACCACUAACUUCUGCUGUGUGUGUGUGUGUUUUAAGUGUUUUUAAGUGGCGUUUGGGCUUGGUUGGUUUUCUCCCCACCAGGAAUCAGGUUCCUUACCUUGUUUGACCUGCUAACUUUCUACAGGUUAGGAGCCCUGUGAGCCGCAGGACAGUACGUAGAUGCAGCCUGAUGAGCUUGGUUCAUUCUGACCUGCAGCAGGAAUUUCUCAACUAUGGAGCUGGACUCCAAGUCUUAGAAAAGAUUGAUCCUGUGCUUUCCUGAGAAAGAGUGAUAGUUCUGGUUGAAUCUGUCUCAAAGGUUUUGUGUAACCUGAGGAUUGUCUAGAGGCCUGUGCCCAUUUUGGAGAAUCCAGGAUUAUGGUUAAACUUGGUAAAAAUUUUUAGCUUGUAUCAUUCCUAUCUGGAUAGAGAAAAUAAAAUUCUUAAAACAAAAA